rnacentral:misc_RNA from 1 species
AUUCUCCUCGUGUCGCCCUUUUCCCUUUGAGAAUAGGAGUUGAUUGCGUGGCAGAGAAUGGUCUCCCGUGCGCGUGGCGCUCGGAUGACCAAAUUGGACCCUCGGCGACAAACGCCACGACCAUAGGUGGUUGAUCAUUUGUUCAGCUCACGUGCGGUUGUGCUCUGCGUCAUUUCCGGCAAGGGUGUACGUACGGACUCUACCUGGCGCGCCCGCAUCU